UACAGAGGGUGCGAGCGUUGUUCGGAAUUAUUGGGCGUAAAGCGCGUGUAGGCGGCCAACUAAGUCGGGUGUGAAAGCCCUCAGCUCAACUGAGGAAGUGCGCCCGAGACUGGAUGGCUUGAGUGCUGGAGAGGGUGGCGGAAUUCCCCAAGUAGAGGUGAAAUUCGUAGAGAUGGGGAGGAACACCGGAGGCGAAGGCGGCCACCUGGACAGUAACUGACGCUGAGGCACGAAGGCCAGGGGAGCAAACGGG
rnacentral:rRNA from 1 species